rnacentral:rRNA from 1 species
CUUAUACGGCGGACGGGUGAGUAAUGCUUAGGAAUCUGCCUAUUAGUGGGGGACAACAUUCCGAAAGGAAUGCUAAUACCGCAUACGCCCUACGGGGGAAAGCAGGGGAUCUUCGGACCUUGCGCUAAUAGAUGAGCCUAAGUCAGAUUAGCUAGUUGGUGGGGUAAAGGCCUACCAAGGCGACGAUCUGUAGCGGGUCUGAGAGGAUGAUCCGCCACACUGGGACUGAGACACGGCCCAGACUCCUACGGGAGGCAGCAGUGGGGAAUAUUGGACAAUGGGCGCAAGCCUGAUCCAGCCAUGCCGCGUGUGUGAAGAAGGCCUUUUGGUUGUAAAGCACUUUAAGCGAGGAGGAGGCUACUUGGAUUAAUACUCUUGGAUAGUGGACGUUACUCGCAGAAUAAGCACCGGCUAACUCUGUGCCAGCAGCCGCGGUAAUACAGAGGGUGCGAGCGUUAAUCGGAUUUACUGGGCGUAAAGCGUGCGUAGGCGGCUUUUUAAGUCGGAUGUGAAAUCCCUGAGCUUAACUUAGGAAUUGCAUUCGAUACUGGGAAGCUAGAGUAUGGGAGAGGAUGGUAGAAUUCCAGGUGUAGCGGUGAAAUGCGUAGAGAUCUGGAGGAAUACCGAUGGCGAAGGCAGCCAUCUGGCCUAAUACUGACGCUGAGGUACGAAAGCAUGGGGAGCAAACAGGAUUAGAUACCCUGGUAGU